CUCCUCUCCCCCGAUGCUCGCUCCCCCUCGGCGGCAGCGGCCUCUCGCCGGUGCCCUGACGGGCACUGCCCGCUCUACGCUUCUCGCCGGGCCGCCCCGGCCGCCGGAGGGCCCCCGCCGCAGAGCUCCGGUGAACGGUGCUGGUGUUUCGUGCCUUCGGCCUCUGGGCCUUCCGAGUUGUUCGUUUAGUGUUGAGAAGAAUCGCCAGAUCCCUGUUCCCCUCAGAAUGUCUGCAGGUGACUAUGAGGAAAUUCUCAAGUACUAUGAAUUGCACGAAACAAUUGGAACAGGUGGGUUUGCAAAGGUAAAACUGGCACGACAUCUUCUCACUGCUGAAAAAGUUGCAAUAAAAAUCAUGGACAAAGCUGCUCUAGGGGAUGACUUGCCUCGUGUUAAAAUAGAAAUUGAUGCCAUGAAGAACUUAAGUCACCAGCAUAUUUGCCGGCUGUAUCAGGUGAUAGAGACAUCCAAGAAAAUAUUCAUGGUCUUAGAGUACUGUCCUGGAGGAGAGCUGUUUGAUUACAUAAUUUCUAAGGACCGCCUUUCAGAAGAGGAAGCUCGUGUAUUUUUUCGGCAGAUUGUUUCAGCAAUUGCUUAUGUUCACGGCAAGGGAUAUGCCCACAGGGAUCUCAAACCAGAAAAUCUGCUGAUUGACAAGGAACAUAAUUUGAAGCUGAUAGACUUUGGACUUUGUGCAAAGCCAAAGGGUGGCCUUGAUUACCAUCUGAACACAUGCUGUGGAAGCCCAGCUUAUGCAGCACCAGAGCUGAUUCAGGGCAAAGCUUAUAUUGGCUCAGAGGCAGAUAUUUGGAGCAUGGGAGUACUGCUGUAUGCUCUACUGUGUGGCUUUCUCCCCUUUGAUGAUGCCAAUGUCAUGGUUACCUACAAGAAGAUAAUGAGAGGAAAAUACAGUAUUCCAAAGUGGCUCUCUCCUGGCAGUAUACUACUACUCAACCAAAUGCUGCAGGUGGACCCAAAGAAGCGGAUUAGGGUUAGAGAUCUAUUAAGUCACCCUUGGCUCAUGCAAGGUUAUUCUGAUGCUGUUCAGUGGCAAAGUAAAUACCCACUUGGACACAUUGAUGAAGACUGUGUAACAGAGCUUUCUGUGUUUCAUAAACAGAGCAGGGAGAGUAUAUUGGAAUUAAUAUCAGAGUGGAAAUAUGACCACAUGUCGGCAACAUAUUUCUUGCUUCAAUCCAAGAAGGCUCGUGGCAAGCAUGUUUGCUUAAGGGUUCCAUGUCUAACAGGGCAUGCCAGUACAACACAAUCAGCAGGCCUCAAGUGUGAGAAACCUAUGACACAGGAAGAUAUGCCAGGCUGCAGUGAAGUGCCAUGUGCAUUUGGAUCCACGGAGUUUUCUGAUGCAUCUUCACUGUUUGAAGAAUCUCCGUUAGAAGAAUAUAAUCUAAAUACUUGCAGAACAAAGCAGCAUUCAAGGCAUGAUGCUCAACUGGAUGAUAUGGAAUUCACACUGUCAAAUCCAGUGACAAGAAAAGUGGCAUCAAAGAAGCAUGAAAACAAAGAGAAUGUUGAUACAGAGUCAGCUUUAAGAAAUGAAAUGCUCUUUGCGCUUCCUGCUCCAAAGACUCCUUUUGCAAAGAAUCAGAUUGAGGCGCAAGUACAAACCAUACCCUGUCAGACACCUGGCUUCCAAGAGAGCCAGUUCACUACUGUCUCCCCAAUUAAGAAACCCACAAACCCAGCAAACACAGAUGAAUUGACAGCUGUUGAGGUUCUUCCCGAAAAAAGGUGUCAUUCAGUGGAAUUGGAUCUCAACCUAGCUCACAUGGAUGGUAACCAAAAGAAGAGAAAAGCCAAAAUAUUUGGAAGUAUUGAGAGAGGCCUAGAUAAAGUGAUCACAAUGCUGACACCAAGCAAAAAGAAACGAUUCACUAGAGAUUGUCCAAGGAAACUUAAGCCUGUGUAAAUGGAAUUCAGCUACUGUAUUGCAGUUGGAAGCUUUUCCAAGAUGCACUUGUCAGAGGCAAGGUGGCAGUCUUACAAGUUCAGGACAUAUGUUGGGCUACAAACCUGACCAACUCAUCGGACAAGAGUCCAGACUGUGCAAAUAAUUCAAGAGCCUGAGCAACUGGAAACAAAAGCUAGACCUUCUGUCUCUAAAAGCUUUUAUCCUUCUGCAUCAGUUUCCCUUGUCCAUACUACAUGCAAAGUUACUGAUGCGUGUCUAGGGACACUGGAGUAUAAUAGGGGAAGAUAGAACUGUACCUCACACUGGUACAGCAGUUAUGGUAGGGAGUUGCAUAUGUUCUCAGCUGAAUAAGAGCUGUAAGAACCAGUCUUGUAUUCUGGCUUUGCAUCCUCAGCCUGUGUUCAUUUCUCAUGCUGUUUUAUGAUCUUGUCUUUUCUCUCUGCUUCUGUGACCAGAAGCUAGAUAGAGUGUUUGUGGUGUAUUACAGUUGGCAUACGCUUUCAUUACAUAUGAGUGUCUGAAAGUUGUUCAAGAAGUCACUUAUUGGACAAGUUCAUUAUAUGAAGUAUUAGAUACAAGACCCCUGUAACAGUGAAAUUAUGAGUAGUAAGUUACCUUUUUUCUUUAAACAUGGUGACGCUUUAGUCCUAGAAAAGCUGCAUGGCGCUGUGCCUGUUCCUUGAUAUCGGAAGUGCUCAGUCUCAGCUAGGCAACACACUAUCGGUGAUGUCCCAACUGUGGAGUGUGCAGCAGGGUGCUCUAAGCAGAGUUGUGUGGCUAUCUUCUGCACUCCUCUGCAGGAAUCACCUCUGGCUGUGUACAAGGCUUCUAAUAGCCUCUGUGCUGCCCUGGCCCAUCACUGCUACUUUGGAUUUUAUGAUGGGUUGUAGUUGGGACGUGCUUUGAUAUUAAUGGUCCAGCAGUUGUUGUUUAGUGUUCCUGUUGCUACUACAAUGUCUUAAUUAUGAUAAUAUUGGGAAGUUGAAGCAUUUGUCACUAUGUUCUGAAGCAAAGCUGUUCCAAAGCUUUCUUUAUGAAAACUUUUCAUAAUGUUUUCAGUUUUAGGAGAAAGAUUUUUUUUUUUCUUGACCCUUUUUUUUUUUAACGAGCUCACUACUUUUAGGCACACUGUAAUGUUACCACCAUUCAGCGACUGAAUCCAGAUGAACUGUUGAAUGAAGUAAUGGCCGUUCUUUCAAAGCAGCAUGUGGAAUAUGUUCAGAAGGGUUAUACCCUGAAAUGUCAAACACGGUCAAAUUUUGGCAAAGUAACUGUGGCAUUUGAGCUAGAAGUGUGUCGACUCAGUAAAUCUGAAGAAGUGGGUAUCCGGCG